AUCAAAUUCUAAAAUCAGUUAGAAGUAAAACAGAAUCUUCUUUCAGGGUUUCUAUGUUUUGUGUCUUUUUAAAAUAGUUUUUUUUUUUUUUAAGAUUUAUUUAUUUAUUAUAUGUAAAUACACUGUGGCUGUCUUCAGACACUCCAGAAGAGGGCGUCAGAUCUUGUUACGGGUGGUUGUGAGCCACCAUAUGGUUGCUGGGAUUUGAACUCAUGACCUUCAGAAGAGCAGUGGGUGCUUUUACCCAUUGAGCAUUCUCACCAGCCCCUUUUGUGUCUUUUUUACUGAGUAUAUAUUCUUUAUUCUGGGUGGGUUGCUUAGAAACUUCUCUUGGAGAAAAAAAUGAUAACCUAGGGGAGUGAAGACGCGAGUUACAACUCUUUCAUUUUGAUAUAUUUCAGUUAGUGUAUCAGCAGGUAAAUUACUUUUUGAUUAUAGACAGCACAGGCUUCCUGGACAUACAGAGGGAUUGCUAGUGAGACUCUAGCUGCCUAGAUAGUACUGUUUUUGCUACCAAAUAAGUCAAUCAGCUUAAGGCUUGUUAAGUAGCUAAAAAGUUACUUCAUCUCAGUCGUGUAUUUGUCUUUUCAUCUAAAAGCAGGUUAAUUGGCUUAUAGUGAUUAGUUGAAAUAAUGUGCAUAGAAAACCUGUCACCUGGCAUAUUUGGUGUAUUGCCAAAGUUUAAUAGGUGAGAGCUAUUCAUCAUAUUGAUUAGCUGUUGUGUUAUGUAGUGUGCUAGAUCCAAGAGCUGAAGAAUUUUAUGAACACAGCAUUCCUUGAAGUGCUUGAAAAUGUAGCAACAGUCUAAAAGAAGAAUCAAAAAGAUAUUAGAGCCCAUUAGUGUGGGUGGUGUAUUGUGAUGAGGACAAUAAGGUUUGUGCAUUUCGGGAAGGAGUUCACUAUACUAGGUGAAGGUUAUCAAGAAAGGGAGGGGGAGGGGGGCUAUGGUGGGUACUCCUGAGCCUGUGCACAGUCCAGGCCAAAGGCCAACAUCAUUGUCUUCGUUGAUGGCUGUCCACCUUAUUCCUUUAGGCAGGGUCUCACAGUUGCUCCCAGUACUGGCUAGUUGAGCUAGCCCUGCCACUAUCUUCCCAGUGCUCUAACUCCAGGCAGGUUGCUUCAUCUACCCAGCGUUUGCAUAGGAUCUGGGGGUCUGAACUCCAGUCCGCACACCAGGACCGCGGGGAACACUGCGCUGCCUCCCCACACCUGGCAUUCGGAACCAGGGCCCAGGCUAGAGUUCUUGUUGCUAAUUGAGAAAGCAGCAGAAAGCAGCACUGGAGAAAGGAUUUUUUUUCUUUUGUCUCUCAGCACCUCUGACAUACAUCCAUUAUAGAGAGUGGUACACAUAUACUAAAUAUCUAAAUUGCAAAAUAAAAUGGAAAAUACUUUUUCUUGUUAUUUGGUGGGGUUCAGGUAUAAAAAAAGUUAUCAAUUAUCAUUUAGCCUUUAAUUCUGAAAUUGCUGUUUUAUCCCAAGGUAAAAGUAAAGUUCUGGGCAUGUAUUAGAACACUUGAUUUUGGGUCUUAGUUUUACUGUUUAGUAAAAGACCUUGAAUGAUACAGCUUCUUUUUUUAAGACUGUAAGUAGUUUUGGAUUAUGUCAUGGACAUUUGGUGUAAGAGUGGGUGCUCUUAUCCUUUAGAGACUGCUUUUGUUUUUGUUUUAGCAUGCAGUCAACCUAUCUGGGUUCAGACACCCUCUCAGCUAUGCAUCCAAUUUGAAUUUAGUUUCAAAAUCUUUAUAAUCCUGGCAAAGUGCUAAUCCCAGUUAAAAUCCCAUCUCUAGGGAGAUGGGCAAAAAGAUGGGAAAUUUGAGGCUGUCCUAGGCUACAACAAGAUCUCAAACACAUGAACAUUGUUGUACUGCUGUCAGUACAGGAACUUAGAAUUGCAGCUUAUUUUGAAUGAUGCUAAGAGGAGAAAAAUAAUACCAAGUACCCCCACCCACACCUUUUAUUACCUUGCUUGAUUCUUUAGAAAUUUCUCUGGUAGAUUUUUUUUCCCCUGUUUAUACCUAUUGCUGAGCUGUGAGAUUUGGCCUUCCCUUAUGUUUAAGCCAGGAUAUUUGGGAGGAAAAGUAGAAAGCCUUAGGACUUUGCUAUUUGAUUUCACUUUCCAGUCAGGUCUUUUCAGAGUCCUUGUGUAUAAUCAGUGGACAGGAUAGGGCGGGUGUGCUAGUGCUUUCUCUGUUUCAGAUGGAACUAGAAUCCCCAUCUGUAAAAUGUGAGCAGUAACUUGGGAUUUCUUGAUGAAAAUACCUUUGACUAGAAAUACAGCCCCAUCCCCCCUCUGGCUUUGAAUAAAAAUUGUUGCUCCUGAAGCCAGUUACAUACGUGUUCAGCUUUGUGACUUGGAUUUUAUCCAUAUAUUAUCUUCAGGAGACAUGGAGUCCCUAAUUCAAAAAGAAGACUAAUUUUCUAAAUUCAUUAUUUUUCUGGUUUUGAAACUACAGUUCUAAAAUUCUUUUUUUGGCAAUUCUAUCAUGUCCAGAAAAUUUCAUCCCUAAUUGUCAAAGGCAAGCCAGGCAAAGGACCUGUUAAGCAUUAAAAACUAUGGGGUUUUGUUUUUUGUUUGAAGACAGGAUCUCUACAUAGUCUCUGCUAUCCUGAACUUACUAUAUAGACCAGGCUGGCCUUCCUAUUGCUAGGCAUGUGCUACCACACCCAGCUAAAAGUUAAGUUUUGAGUAUGAAUUUUUUUUUUAAAUACAGACUAGAGGAAUGUCAAAAUAGUCCCCCCAUGAGAAGACUGAGGUUAGGUGCUCUUCAGCAUUUUCCUUAGGUAACAUCUCAGGAAUUGAUUCCUCCCAACCCUUGGAAUAACUCUACUAAGAGAGGAAUAAAGGAUUAAUGAGAAUGUUUAAAUCCUAAAAUACCAGGAUUAUAUUUCUGUCUGUUGCCUCCUCCCUUACCUGAGAAAUGACUGAAAGCUGGAGAAUUGGCUGGCUAGCCUGAUGUUCACAGCUCAGUAACAAACAAAAGAAUGUCUGCUUCAAAACAAGGUGGAAGGAGAACAACGUAAACAUUUUCCUGUCUUCUGUACUUGUAUACUCUCACAUACACACACAUGAUAGGAAACCAAAUCCAAUAGCAUAUUAAUUAAAAGAUCAUUUACCACAACCAAGUGAGAUUGUUCCUGUGAUGCAAGGAUACUCCUGUGCAGAACUCUGGUACGCCAUGUUGACUGUUACAUCUCAACACAGUAAGACUUAGGCAGAGCCUUCCAUGAGUAUGAUGCUUACUAUCACAGGCAACAAGAACAUAGACACAGUAAAAGGAGCGGUGAGAACACAAGAGAUGGAAUGGAGGAGAUAACUUAAACCAAGGAUCAACGUGGAAAGGAACCCAGACAACUCUUAUUUAAAAACAGAGUAAGAAUUUAAAUAGAAAUUUCUCC
rnacentral:lncRNA from 1 species